CACACAGCUCAGUAGCACGUGGCUAACCUGCCCUUGGGACGGGAACAUCCCCGGGAAACUGGGGUUAAUUCUCGAUAGGUGAAGAUUCCUGGAAUGGGUUUUCGCCCAAAGGACGUUUAGGUCAUGCUUCUAGACGUUGCCCAAGGAUGGGGCCGCGGCCGAUCAGGCUGUUGGUGAGGUAAUGGCUCACCAAACCUUUGACCGGUUCGGGCCGUGGGAGCGGUAGCCCGGAGAUGGGCACUGAGACAAGGGCCCAGGCCCUACGGGGCGCAGCAGUCGCGAAAACUUCGCAAUAAGCGAAAGCUUGACGGGGCCAUCCCGAGUGCCAUCUGCUGAGGAUGGCUUUUACCCAGUAUAGAUAGCUGGGGGAAUAAGGAGAGGGCAAGUCUGGUGUCAGCCGCCGCGGUAAUACCAGCUCUCCGAGUUGUGGGGACGUUUAUUGAGCCUGAAGCAUCCGUAGCCGGCUGUGCAAGUCCUCUGUUAAAUCCAGCGAUAAAUCGUUGGCCUGCGGGGGAUACUGCUCGGCUAGGGGGCGGGAGAGGCCGUCGGUAUUCUUGGGGUAGGGGUGAAAUCCUAAUAAUCCCAGGAGGACCACCAGUGGCGAAGGCUGUCGGCUAGAACUCCCUCAACGGUGAGGGAUGAAAACUGGGGGAACCAACC
rnacentral:rRNA from 1 species